GGUAACCGAAGUUUAUUGUAGAUACGCAGAAAAAUUUAUAUAUUUAUUUUAGGGUGUUUUCAAUGUUGAUAAAUAAAUAGGUUUUGCUCUACAUAUUUGGUCUAGCUUUGAAGCCUUAUUGGCUGGCUAGCUAGCUAUACAAGGAGGACACCAGGCAGCAGUUGACCAAAGUUAACGAAGAUGCCUCUAGUGGUAGCUUUGGCAUGUAUUGUUGAGACAUUCGACAGGAGCUUCUGGAGUACAUCUAACGACGUCUGAACCACAGUCCUUCGUUGUUUUGCAUGAAAGUCCACUUGCUGCUUUUAUCACACUUUCGAGGGAAUCACCUGCAAAAUACAAAUAUCAUUUAAUUACCAGUUGUUUCCUUGCAUCAAACAAGGACUGGUGCUGUAUUAUAAGAGAGAGACAGAGAGACUAACGAUGCUACGAGCAAAGGCAAUGCAACAAAUGCCAUCUUGGAAUAAGUCUUCUCCAUAGUUUUCCCUUUUCUUCUAAUCUGUUGCUAUAAACGAGUAAGGGUUUUCGUUUUCUAUGCACGAAAUAAACCUGCUUUAACAUGUAUUUAUAGACGGGGCAAGUACGAAGAAAUUCAUGGAGCAUGAUGAGAUGCCAAAAGAAAA
rnacentral:lncRNA from 1 species